rnacentral:rRNA from 1 species
CCCUUUGGGUGUGACUGCGUACCUUUUGUAUAAUGGGUCAGCGACUUAUAUUCUGUAGCAAGGUUAACCGAAUAGGGGAGCCGGAGGGAAACCGAGUCUUAACCGGGCGUUAAGUUGCAGGGUAUAGACCCGAAACCCGGUGAUCUAGCCAUGGGCAGGUUGAAGGUUGGGUAACACUAACUGGAGGACCGAACCGACUAAUGUUGAAAAAUUAGCGGAUGACCUGUGGCUGGGGGUGAAAGGCCAAUCAAACCGGGAGAUAGCUGGUUCUCCCCGAAAGCUAUUUAGGUAGCGCCUCGUGAAUUCAUCUCCGGGGGUAGAGCACUGUUUCGGCUAGGGGGCCAUCCCGGCUUACCAACCCGAUGCAAACUGCGAAUACCGGAGAAUGUUAUCACGGGAGACACACGGCGGGUGCUAACGUCCGUCGUGAAGAGGGAAACAACCCAGACCGCCAGCUAAGGUCCCAAAGUCAUGGUUAAGUGGGAAACGAUGUGGGAAGGCCCAGACAGCCAGGAUGUUGGCUUAGAAGCAGCCAUCAUUUAAAGAAAGCGUAAUAGCUCACUGGUCGAGUCGGCCUGCGCGGAAGAUGUAACGGGGCUAAACCAUGCAC